CUUAAAAAGAAAAUGUGGAAGACAUAUGAAAAAAACCUACAGGAAGAAAUCUUUGCUGAAAACCAAUAAAAGCUUUAUAUAAAGAAAAAGUUAUAUUUUUACAGAUACAUUCCCUAUUUUAAGGAUCAUAAUGCUUCCUAAAUUAAUGUAUAACUACAAUUUUAUUACAAUCAAAAUACUAACAGGCAUUUUUUUAGAACUUGCAAGCUGAUCUUAACAUACAAAAGAAAAAUUUAACAUGGAGAUAUAGCCAGAAAAUUUGGUUAAAAAACAACAUAUAGGAAUCAAGGUUACUUACCAAAGAGGACUUAGGAGCUGAUAUGUUAUUGUUUGAAAAAUCUAUCAUUGAUUGACAGGCCAAGAGAUUGCAUUUCUGCCUGAAUAAUAAGAGUUUAAGUUCACAGAACACUCUCAGAAAUGAUAUCUUAUUUGAUCGACACAAUGCCUAUAAACUAGGUAUUAAUAGUAUUCUCCAUCUGAUAGAUAUUUCCAAAUAAAGGAUUAAGGAACUUACCUUAUUUCAUUUAAACCACAUAAAACUGUGUAAAGCAGUUGUUAUUUUCUUUCAUACAUCAGGAUUUUUGCUAAUAGUGUUGGUUAGGAGAAAGACGAGCCAAAAUGCCUAGGUUCCAUUCCCAGUUUUGCCACUUAAUGACUGUGUGAUCUUGAGCAAGUUGCUUAACUUCUCUGUGCCUGAGUUUCUGUACAUGUAAAAAUGAGAUGAUGAUACUUUAUGGGGUUACUGUGAGGACUAAAUGAGUUAAUAGAUGAGAAGUACUUGGAACAGUGCCUAGUACAUAGGAAGUAUUAUGAAAUUGUGAGGUCUUACUCUGAACCUAGAGGUUUAGAUUAUUUCUGUUUUGUUUUGUUUUUUGAGACAGAGUCUCACCCACUCUGCUGCCCAGACUGGAGUGCAGUGGCACAAUCUUGGCUCACUGCAACCUCUACCUCCCAGGUUCCAGCGAUUCUCCCGCCUCAGCCCCCCAAGUAGCUGGGAUUACAGGCAUGUGCCACCACAGUCGGCUAAUUUUGUAUUUUUAGUAGAAAUGGGGUUUCACCUUGUUGGCCAGGUUGGUCUUGAACUCCUGGCUUCAAGUGAUCUGCCUGCCUCGGCCUCCCAAAGUGCUGGGAUUACAGGC
rnacentral:lncRNA from 10 species